ACAAACACGUACGUACAUGGAUGGGAUAACUAUUCCCUACUUUCUUCUUCGUUUCAGGGAUGGAUCUUGAGACUUGAAGAUCGGAUCCAGCACACUCCAACCCUAGACCCUCAUCUCUCCCUCUCGAUCGCUUCUUCGCUUUGUGUGAUCAUCUGGUUGCGGCGGAGUCAUCGGGGAUGAUAUAGACAGAAAUAACCGUCGACGACGUCGGACUCGAAUUAGAGCUGUAGAAACCAGGAUGUCGUCGUCGAGCUCUCCGUGCGCCGCCUGCAAGUUGCUCCGGAGAAAAUGCACGCAAGAAUGCGUUUUAGCUCCCUAUUUCCCGCCCGACGAGCCCCAAAAGUUCGCCAACGUCCACAAAGUAUUCGGCGCCAGCAACGUAGGGAAGAUCCUCAACGAGCUCAAAGCCAGCGACCGCGAAGACGCCGUCAAUUCCCUGGCCUACGAAGCAAAUGCCCGCAUCGAAGACCCAGUCUACGGGUGCGUCGGUCUCAUCUCCAUCCUCCAGCACCGGCUGAGGCAAGUCCACAACGAUCUCUACGCCGCCAAGAAAGAAUUGGCCAAUUACAUCGGACCCUCGGCAAUGUUGCCCAUCUUCCAGCAGCCGGGCUUCGUUCCACAUCAUCCAAACAAUCCCUCUUCCUCUUCAUUUCUUCCUUACAACGUGCCGCCGCAGAUGAUGGGUCCGAGCACCCAGUUGGUGAUCGCCGAGCCGCAGCAGCAAAUGCUGGAGGCCCAGCAGCAACAGGAGAUGUUGCGGGCUUAUCAGCAGCAACAAGAGAUUGUGAGAUUUAACAGUGAGUAUGAACCGGGGGUUUGUGGAAGUGGUGGCUUCAACCAGAUGGGCGGUAGUUCAUAUGAAAACCCUUAUCAGAUUUCGGAGCAGCCACAGGAGCAAGGUCAGCAUCAUCUUCACCUUCAAUUUCAGUCGCAGCUUGUACUUCAGCAGCAUCAGAGGUCCGGGAGCGAUGAGGAUCGAGGCAUUGGGCCUUCCUGUUGAAGUUAUUGAUUAAUUUGGAGCUCUCUCGCGUCAAAUGCCUCUGCUUAGCUGCUUAGUCAUUCCUUGGACAAAAUUCAAUUCCGGCUUAUUUGUACCUGCCUUCCACAUAACGUACGAACAAAGCCAAGAACAGAGGUGUUCAGUGUUCUUAUAAUGGUGUAGUUGGAAAUUUCCAAGCAAUUUUAUGUAAAUUACAUUUUGUUUUGGGGGGCUUGAAGAAGAGACUUAAUUUGUCGAUGGGGAGGCAGCAAAGAUCUGUAGUCUACAUCUACCGGACCCUCUUCUGUUCUACUUAAUUAGAGAUCUAAGCUUCGAUGUAAAUAAGCAUUCAAUUAAUUAUGGACUUUUAUUUUAAAUUUCCAUGUGUGAGCAACCAGCAGCUUCUGUUGAAACAUUGCCAGUGCUUCAUUAUUGCCGUCCCAAGUCACCUACAUUUUAUGCACCCCAAGGAAGGCCAAUGGAUCAUCACUCUGGCUGUAGCGCACUUUGCCAUUUUGGGUUAGGACUUGUUCAUCCGUAGAUGAAAUGAUUUAUAAUGUUGUCAUUUUGGCAAAGGAACUGAGUCUUUGUUUUUCUUUUUUUCUAAAGAAGAUGAGUAAUCAAUAAAGUAGUACUGUGGAGGGGGGCUUAGCAAUUGCGACAUAAAACUAUUGAUGACUUCACACUGCUCAGUGGUUUAUCCUUGUUUGCCCGCAAUAAACUGCAUACUAUUCAUGA